rnacentral:rRNA from 1 species
AGGUCUUAGGAUUGUAAAAUUCUUUCACCGGGGACGAUAAUGACGGUACCCGGAGAAGAAGCCCCGGCUAACUUCGUGCCAGCAGCCGCGGUAAUACGAAGGGGGCUAGCGUUGCUCGGAAUUACUGGGCGUAAAGGGAGCGUAGGCGGACAUUUAAGUCAGGGGUGAAAUCCCGGGGCUCAACCUCGGAAUUGCCUUUGAUACUGGGUGUCUUGAGUAUGAGAGAGGUGUGUGGAACUCCGAGUGUAGAGGUGAAAUUCGUAGAUAUUCGGAAGAACAC